UCGGGACUGACGUGUUCCGCCUCUUCUAAUGACAUUUUUUUUUUCUUUCCACCUCCUUUUCUUUGCCGUGCGCACGGAGAAGCCCCCUGAAACGCACGCCACCUAUCUUCACGGGAGGGGAUAAUUGAGGGGAGCCAAACGUGAGCAUCUUCUGGCUUCAACUUCUUUUUUUUAUUUUUUUAUUUUUUUAAUUCCUCCCUCCCACCCCCAACACUCUCCUGGUGCCCCCUCCCUCCCCAUCUUGCUUUCUCCAUCCUCCUCUUUUGUACAGAGAAACAACAACUAUGUCCUCUCCGAGUGUGCGCAUGGAGUCUGUGUGUGUGUGUGUGUGUGUGUGUGUGUGUGUACAUGUGUGUGUGUGUGUGAACUUGAAGCGCGUCCACGCCAGCCGCAAUCACACAAAGAUGGAAUCUUGAAUAUGAUAAGACUUAUUUUCCUGCCUCGUUCGUGAUCAUUGUCAUUAUUAUUAAGAACCUCUGACCCAUUUACGUACCGGAAGGACCCAGGUAUAGUUGGAAUUGAACAAGUUGUGGGUAAGUUUCUAUUUUAGUCCGCUUUUCUGACAACACAGUCUUAAGGGGUCAUUUGCUCGUUGGGGUGUUUGCAUGUCAACGUUACGCACUCUCUCACACGCACUUGAACGCACCACGGCGGAGGAGCCAUUCAUCCAGGCGGCCGUGAAGUGGCCCCUCUCUGCUGCAGCUCUUGUGCGUGGGGCCGCAUAUUCACCGUGUAAACGGAUUAAGUGUGUUUUUGACCUUUAAGGGGGGGGGUUCUGUGUCAAAUGCAUACAUGUUGUUAAUUGAACAAGGCGUUGGUGUGUUAAUAUUUAUUCUGCAUGUACGAUUGAUAAUAAAAGUGUGAUGACAAGA